rfam:Triticum aestivum genome assembly, contig: Triticum_aestivum_CS42_TGACv1_scaffold_433511_5DL
UAGAUACUCCUUCUAUCCCAAAAUUCUUGUCUUAGAUUUUUCUAGAUACAGAUGUAUCUAGUCACGUUUUAGUGUUAAAUACAUCUUUAUCUAGACAAAUUUAAGACAAGAAUUUUGGGAUGGAGGUAAUACUUU